rnacentral:rRNA from 1 species
ACGGGAGGCAGCAGUGGGGAAUAUUGCGCAAUGGGGGAAACCCUGACGCAGCAACGCCGCGUGAAGGAUGAAGGUUUUCGGAUUGUAAACUUCUUUGACGAGGGACGAAUUAUGACGGUACCUCGAAAACAAGCUCCGGCUAACUACGUGCCAGCAGCCGCGGUAAUACGUAGGGAGCGAGCGUUGUCCGGAUUUACUGGGUGUAAAGGGCGAGUAGGCGGGACUUCAAGUCAGAUGUGAAAACUAUGGGCUUAACCCAUAGCCUGCAUUUGAAACUGUAGUUCUUGAGUGAUGGAGAGGCAGGCGGAAUUCCUAGUGUAGCGGUGAAAUGCGUAGAUAUUAGGAGGAACACCAGUGGCGAAGGCGGCCUGCUGGACAUUAACUGACGCUGAGGCGCGAAAGCGUGGGGAGCAAACAGGAUUAGAUACCCUGGUA